CUCGGUUAGUUUUGCUAGUUUGCAGCAGCUGGUCUGAAUUUCGCUGUGCAAAUGCAUGCAAAACUGAGGGAGGC
rnacentral:pre_miRNA from 1 species